UUGAUUCUGGCUCAGAAUGAACGCUGGCGGCGUGGAUUAGGCAUGCAAGUCGAACGCGUGGCAACACGAGUGGCGACCUGGAUAGUACAAGUUGGGCAACCUGCCCGGAAGUGGGGAAUAACCCUUCGAAAGGAGGGCUAAUACCGCAUGUGGCCUCGUGGUCUUCGGACCGUGCGGCCAAAGCAGCGAUGCGCUUCCGGAUGGGCCCGACCCCCAUUAGCUAGUUGGUGUGGUAACGGCGCACCAAGGCGACGAUGGGUAGCUGGCCUGAGAGGGUGGUCGGCAUCACGAGGACUGAGAUACGGCCUCGACUCCUACGGGGGGCAGCAGUCUAGAGGCUUCGGCAAUGGGCGAAAGCCCGACCGAGCGACGCCGCGUGGAGGAUGAAGGCCUUCGGGUUGUAAACUCCUUUCGGCAGGAAGGAAGGUGUGGGUGGUGAACCCAUGCUUGACCGACCUGCGGAAGAAGCCCCGGCUAACUUCGUGCCAGCAGCCGCGGUAAUACGAAGGGGGCGAGCGUUAUUCGGAUUUAUUGGGCGUAAAGGGCGCGUAGGCGGCUCUGCAAGUCUGGUGUGAAAACGCUACCGCUCAACGGAGCGAAUGCGCUGGAAACUGCAGAACUUGAGUCCAGAAGAGGUGCGCGGAAUACCUGGUAUAGCGGUGGAAUGCUUAGAGAUCAGGUAGAACACCCGAGGCGAAGGCGGCGCACUGGUCUGCGACUGACGCUGAGGCGCGAAAGCGUGGGGAUCAAACGGGAUUAGAUACCCCGGUAGUCCACGCUGUAAACGGUGAGUACAAGGUGUGAGGGGUAUCCAUUCCCUUCGUGCCGUCGUUAACACAUUAAGUACUCCGCCUGGGAAGUACGGCCGCAAGGUUGAAACUCAAAGGAAUUGACGGGGGCCCGCACAAGCGGUGGAGCAUGUGGUUUAAUUCGAUGCAACGCGAAGAACCUUACCUGGGCUCGAACGGUGGCUUACAGGGGCUGAAAGGCCCUGCCCUUCGGGGGUGCCACCGAGGUGCUGCAUGGCUGUCGUCAGCUCGUGUCGUGAGAUGUUGGGUUAAGUCCCGCAACGAGCGCAACCCUCGUCCUUAGUUGCCAGCGCGUCAUGGCGGGGACUCUAGGGAGACUGCCCGCGGUAAGCGGGAGGAAGGCGGGGACGACGUCAAGUCAUCAUGGCCCUUACGUCCAGGGCUACACACGUGCUACAAUGGCAGGGACAGCGCGCCGCGACCCGGCGACGGGAAGCGAAUCGCUCAAACCUUGCCCCAGUUCAGAUUGGAGUCUGCAACUCGACUCCAUGAAGCCGGAAUCGCUAGUAAUCGCGGAUCAGCUACGCUGCGGUGAAUCAGUUCCCGGGCCUUGUACACACCGCCCGUCACGUCACGAAAGUCGGUUGUACCAGAAGUCGCUGCAGGAACCGUUUCACGACGGACCGAGGUGCCUAAGGUAUGACUGGUAAUUGGGACGAAGUCGUAACAAGG
rnacentral:rRNA from 1 species